AAUUCCCUCCCACCCCACUGAUCCCACUGAUAUGGGGGAUUCCCAUCCCUGAACCGCUGCUUCCUGAAGUUCUCUUGGUGCUUAUCCGCAUUCCCAUCCCCCAGGGAUGUCCUCCAGAACCUGAACUUGGACUCGUGGCGAGGAAGCUGCCAGAGGGGCGACAUCAAGGAAGACGACUUCCGCAACAUCUCGGUGAUGCCCUUCUCCCGCUACUACCUCAACUGCUCCAUCGAGUCCCACUACGCCACCUACAACUGGUACCACGAGGACGUGCUCAUCAAGAGCUGCAACACCUCCCACCCGCAGCACGACUGCUUCCACUUCAUCCCCAGCGUCCGGCGCGAGCACUACGGCCACUACGUCUGCGUGUCCGAGGAGGACGGCUUCCGCCAGGCGCUGGUCAAGGAGCGCCUGCUGGACCGCCAGCGCUUCUUGUCGCAGCGCGGCCGCGCUCCGGCCACGCUGGCCUCGUGGCUCCAGCUGCUGCUGGUGCUGGCCCUGGCCGAGCUCUUCCACUGACGCCGUCCCGCUGGCCCUGCCGCCGCCGCGGCUCCCUCGGACUCUUGGUGCUCCCCACCGCCCGCCUCGCUGGAAGAGCCGCGGCAGGAGGGUGUGACACGCGGCGGCCUCGGCGGCGGCGGCUCCGCUGGCCAGCCAUGCAUGCGCUGAUGCUCAGGGCAUGGCCGCUCCUUGCAUGUGAUGAAGAUGAGGAGGAGGAGGAGGAACCGGCCCUCGGCCUCCAGACUGCGGGAUGCCCGCGGGGACCGCUGCCUCCCGAGCUUUCGCGGGGUGAUGUUGGGGUCGGCAGCGGCUGGGACAGCCCCGGCGAGUCCCCUCCUGCUCCGUGGGGGCUCGGAGGCUGCAGGGGGGGCUCGGUUCGUUGUUUUUUGUUCGCAGCCGGCUUUGGUGUGGGAGGGAGGUCGGGAAUCGGCGCCACCGCGUUGGGAAUUUGCAUGGAAAAGCCUCGGAAGGUGGCUGGAUUUGGGGUGUGGGGAAAGGGAAGGUGGGAGCAGAGCCCGGAGCGGAGCGGGAGGCGCUGGGGGAGACGCUGGAGACGCACAAAUCCUCUGCGGGCAGCUGAGGGGCAUCGCAGCGGGGCCGUGCCCGCUCCCACCCUGUCCCGGGCGUCCUCAGGGAAAGCGGCCGCGGAUCUCAGGGCACCGGGGGGGCUGCGCCUGCCCCCGGCUCUGUCCCUGUCCCCCGGGCCGGGC
ensembl:lncRNA